GUACAGCAAGGAUAUGGGGCGGAUUAAUAUUUCCUUGCGCAGGGGCAAUGCUAAUCUUCUCUGUAUUGUUCCCAUUUUAGUAUAUGUUCAGGAAUGAAC
rnacentral:sRNA from 1 species